ACUCCUACGGGAGGCAGCAGUGGGAGUAUUGCACAAUGGGAAACCGGUACUGCAGCCAUGCCGCGUGUGUGAAGAAGGCCUUCGGGUUGUAAAGCACUUUCAGUCGUGAGGAAGGUAGUGUAGUUAAUAGCUGCAUUAUUUGACGUUAGCGACAGAAGAAGCACCGGCUAACUCCGUGCCAGCAGCCGCGGUAAUACGGAGGGUGCGAGCGUUAAUCGGAAUUACUGGGCGUAAAGCGCAUGCAGGUGGUUUGUUAAGUCAGAUGUGAAAGCCCGGGCU
rnacentral:rRNA from 1 species